UACGUAGGGUGCGAGCGUUGUCCGGAAUUAUUGGGCGUAAAGAGCUCGUAGGCGGUCUGUCGCGUCGAUCGUGAAAACUUGGGGCUUAACUCUGAGCUUGCGGUCGAUACGGGCAUGACUGGAGUUCGGCAGGGGAGACUGGAAUUCCUGGUGUAGCGGUGAAAUGCGUAGAUAUCGAGAGGAACACCUGCGGCGAAGGCGGGUUGCUGGGCUGACACUGACGCUGAGGCGCGAAAGCCAGGGGAGCGAACGGG
rnacentral:rRNA from 1 species